AUUAUUGCUUGAGGGUGCCAAGAACUGUAGCAGUAAGAGCAGAAGCAGAAAUGAAGAACACGAAGGAUGCUAUGGAGUGAGAGAAAAGUCCAUGCUUGCAAGAAUCCAAAGACACCCUGUGAGGACGCCCCAAAAUACUCGAGGAAGUGUGUAAGUAGAGCUGGACCUUUCAUUCUCCCAGCUGGGGUAGAACUGGAGCCAUGUGUGCAGGGCCUGCUUCUUCUUCAGGGCUGCCGUGUCCUGGAAAGCCAAGCUUGCACAUGGGUUAUAGCACUCCACUUUCCCAAAGCCCUCAUAUACAUCAUCUGUUUCAGUGCUCGCAUUAACACCUGUGAAGUAGAUAUUAUUCCCAGGUCUCACAGCCCAUAAAUGGAAACUCUGCCGGGAAAUAAGUCCUGCUUUUCUCUCUGUACCAGAGCUGCCCCAGCAAAUUAAAGCUUAUUCUAAAUGUAGGUACCUAGAGCAUUUCUUAAAUUAAACCCAGAGUGAAUUCUGAACCUCAGUCUAAGCCUCUACUGAUUUGUCUAUUCUGUGAGUUCAGAGUUCUGCAUAGUAAAAUCUCAUUAAUUCAAUCUCCAUGAAUGUAGAAUUUGGGGUAGGCAUCAGAAAGCAGUCUCUCCUUAGUCACUUAGCCACACUUACUUUGGCCCAAUGACCCAAAAAUUUCUUGUUAAGGCCUUUCUUUAAAAUGAUCUCUAAGGCAGGCACUUUAUAAAUGAAAAUCACGCCCACCUAAGCCUAGGCUUGCAGGUUUGUCUGCCUCGGGCUUUCAGGUAUGUCUGGUUCUCUUACCCCAUCAAAGGGACAGACUGCUCACAGGUGCUUAAGAUCAUCCUGGCAUGGACCCUUGUUUUAUGCAAAGUGUGUGCCAGUGCUGGAUGUGAAAACACCAGUCGAUUCCCAUUCGCUGGUCUUAGCCAGUCAGAACCUUGCUUCUGAGGCAGGGUGAUACUGUGGUUACUUCUCUCAGAUUUCCCUCUAAUGUUUGGAAGUUCCUAUACACCAUACUGUUUUUGCAUUAGCCACAGAUGUAGGCUGCAAAUGUCUACUAGGCAGCAUGGGCUAACCAAAAUAAGGACACGAUUGACCCAACCUUGUCAUUCUUAGAGACACUGGAAAUCUCCUCAAGUUGGUAAUAACUAGAAUUUUUUAUCAAAUAAUCACUGUUUUACAGAUAAAGAUGGUGCCUCCACAUAAACUGAACAUAUGGCCGGCAAAGAGCACCCCUAUUCCAUCAUCCAAGUUCUCCUUCCUUAGCUGAAGUGAAAACAUUUGAAAUUGAUGAUACAAAGUGCUGGGGAGGGUGGAGAGAAAUGGCCCCUGUCUAAGCUAUAUGGAGAGUGAAUAGCAAGGCAGUUUGCCAAUAUCUAUCACUUGUUAAAUCCACAUACACUUUGCUCCAGGAAUUAGAAUUUCAGGAAUUUAUCUUAAAACUGUUGUAACAACACAUAUAUGAAGAGGUUUAUUGUAGCCUUGCUUACAGUGACUAAGUAUCAGAAACAACCUAGAUAACUGUCAGUGGGAACUGGUUGAAUAAUUUGUUUUAUCAACAUGUAGGAAAAUAUCCAAUCUCUAUAGAGAAUGAGGCAAACUUUUACAAACUUUGUAAGAUGUAUUUCUAAGUAAAAAUAAACAUAAGAACAAAC
rnacentral:lncRNA from 1 species